AUUGAACGCUGGCGGCAGGCCUAACACAUGCAAGUCGAGCGAGCGGCGGACGGGUGAGUAAUGUAUGGGGACUGCCCGAUAGAGGGGGAUAACUACUGGAAACGGUAGCUAAUACCGCAUACUAUCGGAUAACCCAUAUGGGAUUAGCUGGUAGGUGGGGUAACGGCUCACCUAGGCGACGAUCCCUAGCUGGUCUGAGAGGAUGAUCAGCCACACUGGGACUGAGACACGGCCCAGACUCCUACGGAGGCAGCAGUGGGGAAUAUUGCACAAUGGGCGCAAGCCUGAUGCAGCCAUGCCGCGUGUAUGAAGAAGGCCUUCGGGUUGUAAAGUACUUUCAGUCGGGAGGCGUUACCGACAGAAGAAGCACCGGCUAACUCCGUGCCAGCAGCCGCGGUAAUUC
rnacentral:rRNA from 1 species